CCUACGGGGGGCAGCAGUGGGGAAUAUUGCACAAUGGGGGAAACCCUGAUGCAGCGACGCCGCGUGAGUGAAGAAGUAUUUCGGUACGUAAAGCUCUAUCAGCAGGGAAGAAAAUGACGGUACCUGACUAAGAAGCCCCGGCUAACUACGUGCCAGCAGCCGCGGUAAUACGUAGGGGGCAAGCGUUAUCCGGAUUUACUGGGUGUAAAGGGAGCGUAGACGGCAGCGCAAGUCUGGAGUGAAAUCCCAUGGCUUAACCAUGGAACUGCUUUGGAAACUGUGCAGCUAGAGUGCAGGAGAGGUAAGCGGAAUUCCUAGUGUAGCGGUGAAAUGCGUAGAUAUCACGCAGAACCCCGAUUGCGAAGGCAGCAUACCGGUGCACAACUGACGCUCAGGCACGAAAGCGUGGGUAUCGAACAGGAUUAGAUACCCCUGUAGUC
rnacentral:rRNA from 1 species